GGAAGUAAAAGUCGUAACAAGGUCUCCGUUGGUGAACCAGCGGAGGGAUCAUUACAGAGUUGCAAAACUCCCUAAACCAUUGUGAACCUACCACUAAACAGUUGCUUCGGCGGGUGGGCUUCCCCCUCCCCCUUCGGGGGGUCGGGCGCCCCUAGACAGCCCGCCGGAGGUACCCAAAACUCUUGUUUAAUUAAAGGCCUCUCUGAGUACUGUACUUAAAUAAGUCAAAACUUUCAACAACGGAUCUCUUGGUUCUGGCAUCGAUGAAGAACGCAGCGAAAUGCGAUAAGUAAUGUGAAUUGCAGAAUUCAGUGAAUCAUCGAAUCUUUGAACGCACAUUGCGCCCGCCAGUAUUCUGGCGGGCAUGCCUGUUCGAGCGUCAUUUCAACCAUCAAGCCCAGCGCUUGUGUUGGGGCCCCGCGGCUGCCCGCGGGCCCUUAAAGACAGUGGCGGUUCUCGCUGCAGCACCGAGCGUAGUAGAAUACACCUCGCCCUGGGAGCUGCGCGCGCGCCCGCCGUAAAACCCCCCACCUCUCACAAGGUUGACCUCGGAUCAGGUAGGAAUACCCGCUGAACUUAAGCAUAUCAAUAAGCGGAGGA
rnacentral:rRNA from 1 species